GAUUCAAGUGCAGAAAGGCGGCGUAAGCUGUGACUUUACGAUGAGCCCGCGGCGCAUUACCUAGGUGGUGGGGUAAGGGCCUACCAAGGCGAUGAUGCGUAGCCGAGAUGAGAGACUGAUCGGCCACAUUGGGACUGAGACACGGCCCAGACUCCUACGGGAGGCAGCAGUAGGGAAUCUUCCACAAUGGACGCAAGUCUGAUGGACCAACGCCGCGUGAGUGAACAAGGUUUUCGGAUCGUAAAGCUCUGUUGUUGGUGAAGAAGGAUAGAGGCAGUAACUGGUCUUUAUUUGACGGUAAUCAACCACAAAGUCACGGCUAACUACGUGCCAGCAGCCGCGGCAAUACGUAGGUGGCAAGCGUUGUCCGGAUUCAUUGGGCGUAAAGCGAGCGCAGGCGGAAUGAUAAGUCUGAUGUGAAAGCCCACGGCUCAACCGUGGAACUGCAUCGGAAACUGGCAUUCUUGACUGCAGAAGAGGAGAGUGGAAUUCCAUGUGUAACGGUGGAAUGCGUAGAUAUAUG
rnacentral:rRNA from 1 species